AGCCACCAGGGAAGCCUGGGUUCCUCAGUUUGGGGUCGUCUUUUGGUUCACUCCUUAUGGAAAAGGGGGAAAAAGAGCUUUGUCGUAAGUUAUUCUCCUGGUUCGCCUCUCUCCCUUUCUUUCUCUCCUGCCCUCCUCCUGCUCAUUCUAAAACAACAAAUUCCUUUUUGAGUUUCCCCAGAGCAGUUUCAUGAUCUUCUGUGACAGCCUGCUCCUUAGUGUCUCAACAUGGCAAGUGCUCAUCCAAGUUUCUCAAGAGACUAUUAAUUCCUACAAUGGAGAAAGAAAUGGCAGCCCACUCCAGUGUUCUUGCCUGGAGAAUUCUUUGGACGGAAGGGCCUGGUAGGCUGCAGUCCAUGAGGUCUCAGAGAGUUGGACAAGACUGAGCCACUGACACACACUGAUUCCUACAAAGUACAUUGAAUUGAAUGCUGGGAGUUUAUUCGUCAAUAUUGACACGGAGAACAAAAAGGAAAACAAGGAGGAGCAGGCUUGUGAAGCUGAUUCCCUGUGGUUGAUGAAGUCUCAGUAAAGCUGCUGGUGCCAUCAAAGAUCAUCUUCGGUUACUUAUCCAAGUGAGGAAGCCUCUUCUGCUAGCUGCAUUCUUUUGUAUAUAUCCAGGCUCCUCCGUUCGUGGGAUUUCCCAGG